rnacentral:rRNA from 3 species
GGGUUGUGAGGUUAAGCGACUAAGCGUACACGGUGGAUGCCCUGGCAGUCAGAGGCGAUGAAGGACGUGCUAAUCUGCGAUAAGCGCCGGUAAGGUGAUAUGAACCG